rnacentral:rRNA from 1 species
CAAAUGAAUUGACGGGGCCCGCACAAGCGGUGGAGCAUGUGGUUAAUUCGAAGCAACGCGAAGAACCUUACCAGGUCUUGACAUCCCCUGACAACCCGAGAGAUCGGGCGUUCCCCUUCGGGGGACAGGGUGACAGGUGGUGCAUGGUUGUCGUCAGCUCGUGUCGUGAGAUGUUGGGUUAAGUCCCGCAACGAGCGCAACCCCUAUCUUUAGUUGCCAUCAUUGAGUUGGGCACUCUAAAGAGACUGCCGGCGUCAAACCGGAGGAAGGUGGGAUGACGUCAAGUCCUCAUGGCCUUUAUGCUUAGGGCUACACACGUGCUAUAAUGGGUGGUACAAAGAGAAGCCAACUCGCGAGAGCGCGCCAAUCUCAAAAAGCCAUCCUCAGUUCGGAUUGGAGUCUGCAACUCGACUCCAUGAAGUUGGAAUCGCUAGUAAUCGCGGAUCAGCAUGCCGCGGUCGAAUACGUUCCCGGGCCUU